rnacentral:rRNA from 1 species
AUUGAACGCUGGCGGCAGGCCUAACACAUGCAAGUCGAGCGGACGAACGGAGCUUGCUCCCGGAUUCAGCUGCCGACGGGCGGGUGAGUCAUAGGUAUAUGCCUUGCAGAUUUGGCUAACGUCCGGACGCGGGCGCUAAUACCGCAUACGCUCAUAUGGAGAACGGGAGGGAUCAUCGGACCUCACGCUAUUGGAUGAGCCUAGGUCGGAUUAGCUAGUUGGUUGGGUAAGGGCCUACCAAGGCGACGAUCCGUAGCUGGUCUGAGAGGAUGAUCAGCCACACUGGAACUGAGACACGGUCCAGACUCCUACGGGAGGCAGCAGUGGGGAAUAUUGGACAAUGGGCGAAAGCCUGAUCCAGCCAUGCCGCGUGUGUGAAGAAGGUCUUCGGAUUGUAAAGCACUUUUAGUUGGGAAGAAGAGCAGUAAGUUAAUACCUUGCUGUUUUGACGGUACCAAAAGAAUAAGCACCGGCUAACUUCGUG